rnacentral:rRNA from 1 species
GAUGAACGCUGGCGGCGUGCCUAAUACAUGCAAGUCGAGCGAAGCGUUGACGGGUGAGUAACACGUUGAUAACCUCCUAUCAGACUGGGAUAACUUCGGGAAACCGUAUCUAAACCGGACUCUUAUCGCUGGUUCCGCGCGCCAUUUGCUAGUUGGUAGGGUAACGGCUUACCAAGGCAACGAUGCAUCUCCGACCUGCGAGGGAAGUGGGCCAAACUGGAACUGAGACAAGGUCCAGACUCCUACGGGAGGCAGAAGUGGGGAAUCUUCCGCAAUGGGCGAAAGCCGGACGGAGAAACGCCGCGUGAGUGAGGAAGGUCUGCGGGUCGUAAGAGUCUGUUAUUAGGAAAGCGGUACCUAAUCAGAAAGCCACGGCUAACUACGUGCCAGCAGCCGCGGUAAUAC